rnacentral:tRNA from 1 species
UGAAUUAGAGCUUGAAAUAAGUUUUUUAUUUACACUAAAAAGGUUAAUUGUUUAAUCAAUUUAAUUCAA